AAACUGCGUCAAACUGCGCAUAGGUUCGUCUCGUUCACUCUGGCGUGGCGACGAGGAUGGCGAGCGUUUGCCGGAAUGGAGGUUACGGCGAGUUCUUCUCCAUUAAAAGGGUAAUGCUCCCUUAGUUAUAUCACGUGGCAGCUUCUAUGGAGUUUUCCCAGAGUCCAGCCAGUAUGCUUACCAAUUUGCACUGGCAAAUAGUGUGGAAAAUGUAUUUUAUAUUGUGACCUUCAAUUAACAAAUAUGGAGCUGGAAUCUGCCAGUCAGAUUAUAGACUGGAUAAUUCAACAACUAUUUCAUCUGUCUUCCCGGAAGGGCAAAAACUUAUCCUGUCAAUGGAAAACAGCUUCAAGGAUGGUUUUCUGUUGAUUUCACUUCAGAUCAAUUAGAUAACAAUGUCUCAUGCAUAUUUGAUGCAAGUCUGCCAAUAUCUAUGGUGGAAGAUGUUGCUGGGCUUCACCCAUCUCAAUAUUGGAUAAAUGUUCACGUAAGAGCUUCAAAAUUUUAGUUAUUUUAUCUUGAUGUUCUUUGGAGAAAAAUCUUUAUUUCAUCUUCAUGUUUCUACAUUUAUCUUUUCUUCGG